GAGAGGGGUGGCAAGCGUUAUCCGGAAUUAUUGGGCGUAAGGCGUCCGUAGGUGGUUUGGCAAGUCUGGGUUUAAAGCCCGGAGCCUAACUCCGGAUCGGCCCUGGAAACUGCCAGACUAGAGUAAGGUAGGGGUUGCGGGAAUUCCCGGUGUAGCGGUGAAAUGCGUAGAUAUCGGGAAGAACACCAGUGGCGAAAGCGCGCAACUGGGCCAUUACUGACACUGAGGGACGAAAGCUAGGGGAGCGAAUGGG
rnacentral:rRNA from 1 species